UACGUAGGGUGCAAGCGUUGUCCGGAAUUAUUGGGCGUAAAGAGCUCGUAGGCGGUUUGUCGCGUCGGCUGUGAAAACCUGAGGCUCAACCUCAGGCCUGCAGUCGAUACGGGCAGACUUGAGUGUUGCAGGGGAGACUGGAAUUCCUGGUGUAGCGGUGAAAUGCGCAGAUAUCAGGAGGAACACCGGUGGCGAAGGCGGGUCUCUGGGCAACAACUGACGCUGAGGAGCGAAAGCGUGGGGAGCGAACAGG
rnacentral:rRNA from 2 species